rnacentral:rRNA from 1 species
UACGUAGGGGGCAAGCGUUGUCCGGAUUUAUUGGGCGUAAAGAGCGUGUAGGCGGUUUGGUAGGUCCGCUGUGAAAACUCGAGGCUCAACCUCGAGACGCCGGUGGAAACCAUCAGACUAGAGUCCGGAAGAGGCGAGUGGAAUUCCUGGUGUAGCGGUGAAAUGCGCAGAUAUCAGGAGGAACACCAAUGGCGAAGGCAGCUCGCUGGGACGGUACUGACGCUGAGACGCGAAAGCGUGGGGAGCAAACAGG